AUUGAACGCUGGCGGCAGGCCUAACACAUGCAAGUCGAGCGGAUGAAGGGAGCUUGCUCCUGGAUUCAGCGGCGGACGGGUGAGUAAUGCCUAGGAAUCUGCCUGGUAGUGGGGGAUAACGUCCGGAAACGGGCGCUAAUACCGCAUACGUCCCGAGGGAGAAAGUGGGGGAUCUUCGGACCUCACGCUAUCAGAUGAGCCUAGGUCGGAUUAGCUAGUUGGUGGGGUAAAGGCCUACCAAGGCGACGAUCCGUAACUGGUCUGAGAGGAUGAUCAGUCACACUGGAACUGAGACACGGUCCAGACUCCUACGGGAGGCAGCAGUGGGGAAUAUUGGACAAUGGGCGAAAGCCUGAUCCAGCCAUGCCGCGUGUGUGAAGAAGGUCUUCGGAUCGUAAAGCACUUUAAGUUGGGAGGAAGGGCAGUAAGUUAAUACCUUGCUGUUUUGACGUUACCAACAGAAUAAGCACCGGCUAACUUCGUG
rnacentral:rRNA from 1 species